GUGCUGACGUAAUCUGGGUGCGACAAUCCACCAAGCCCGCACCCACUCUCUAUUCUGCCUAGAUGUUGCUAAAGUGAAUAGUACUGGGCUCAAAGAAAUUCCUUCAUUCUGGCAGGCAGCUCAGUAUUGCCCCUCUGAGGAGCCUAAGGGAGGUGACAAAGUGCGCCCAAACUCUCACAACUCCACUGUGCUUUGGGCAUGGUUGAGGUGAGUCCCCGGGCUUCAUGUGUGGGAGCCUGGUCCCCAGUGUGAUGGCGCUGAGAGGUGGGGGACCCUCGGAGGCAGGCUCUAAAGGGAGGCAGCUUCCUUCCUUGGAUGAGGUCUGUCCCUGUCACAAAUGCCCUCCUGCCACUGUGGCACCUGAGGUGAUAUAGCAUAGGACGCCUACACUGGAGUCAAUGCUGACCCUCACCCUUUAUACCUGAGCAGAAUAAACCUCUCUUCUUCAUAACUAAGUAGCCCCAGGUGUUUCAUUAUAGCAUCACAAGUGAGGUCAGAGCUGCUCUUCCAGUGUCUGGGGCUGUUGUUCUCAGAGACACUCAGGCAUGUCCCUGGGGUGGGAAGACUGUGCUGCUGAGACGUCCUUCCGAUGUUGCUCCCUCCACCUGACACCGGGCAGCAGAAAGGCAGAGGCUGUUUCCUUUCCCUUCGAACCCGGGCUACUGUGCAGCUCAUCUGAUCGGCACUGUGAGGGGGAAAUGAUGCUGGGUCACUCUCAGACCUAGGCAUUAAGAGGACUAAGGGCGACCCCAGCUUCCAUGUGAGACAGACACCUGAUGACUUUCUGGAAGGUCACAUGGACUCAGUGUUUCUGGCUGUCACUCCAAGCAAAGUCAUCAGUGAUCUUCUGGACCAGUCGAUAUAUGCUAUUUAGGGUCCAGUAUCAGAGUAUCGGUACAGAGGCUCCAGAAAGCAGGAUGAAACGAUCCACUCUUCAGAGAUUCUGAAGGCUAAGACUGCCUCUCUGAUAUGUGCUCAGAGGCAGUGACCACGCCCUAACUCCACACGAAAUCCUUCCGCCGGAGGGACCCUCGUCCACACAGAGCUCGCAGCUCGUGUCAGGGCGCAGUCUGCACUGCAGACACCACUGGGAAGGGACGCAUCCACUCUGAACUCACACUGUCUGGACUGCCAGCCGCAUGGGACACAGAACAUCCUGGAGGCGACACAUCUGUGGAAGGGAGGGAGGGAGACUCCUGCCAGGCUGCGGGCAGAGGCCAUCAGAGCACGAGGCCACAAGGCAGAGAAGGACAGUGACUUAGCAACUCCUGCUGUGAACAGAGAGCCAGCUGAGGGGACCCACGGCCAAUCUGCAGCAGCUCUUGUCACCAGAGAACGACUGUCCUGUGUUACGGACAUAAAUGGAGAGAACUGAAAGACUAGCUAUGAGCAGCCUUGGGGGUCAGAGGGGGUCUCUGUCCCAGGCCUGCCGCUUGGCAGCACCGGACCCCGGCCCAGGUUCCUGGCUUCCCUGAUACUCAGCCCUCUAGGAAGAAUCCCGGCAACACACACGCAUCAGUCUCAUCCUGAGGACACAGAGUUACCGACGUAGGCGCAUGCUCUGCCUGACACUGCGCAGGUGGCAAAGGGUGAAGUCACUGCCAGUGCCUGCUGCCCUCUCAAGCUCUGAGGAUGCCGGAAGAG
ensembl:lincRNA